ensembl:snRNA U6 U6 spliceosomal RNA
GUGCUUGCUUCGGCACCACAUGCACUAAGUUGGAACAAUACAGAGAAGAUUAGCCUGGGCCCUGCACAAGGAUGACAUGCAAAUUCAUAAAGUCUUCCAUAUUUUU